UACGAAGGGGGCUAGCGUUGUUCGGAAUUACUGGGCGUAAAGCGCACGUAGGCGGAUAUUUAAGUCAGGGGUGAAAUCCCAGAGCUCAACUCUGGAACUGCCUUUGAUACUGGGUAUCUGAGUAUGGAAGAGGUAAGUGGAAUUGCGAGUGUAGAGGUGAAAUUCGUAGAUAUUCGCAAGAACACCAGUGGCGAAGGCGGCUCACUGGCCCGAUACUGACGCUGAGGCACGAAAGCGUGGGGAGCAAACAGGG
rnacentral:rRNA from 1 species